rnacentral:rRNA from 1 species
UACGAACCGUGCGAGCGUUAUUCGGAAUCACUGGGCUUAAAGCGCGUGUAGGCGGGCCGGCACGUCCGUGGCUGAAAGCCCCCGGCUCAACCGGGGAAGGGGCGCGGAUACGACCGGCCUGGAGGGGGGUAGGGGGACCUGGAACUUCCGGUGGAGCGGUGAAAUGCGUUGAGAUCGGAAGGAACGCCCGUGGCGAAAGCGAGGUCCUGGACCCUUUCUGACGCUGAGACGCGAAAGCCAGGGGAGCGAACGGG